rnacentral:rRNA from 1 species
GACGAACCGUGCGAACGUUAUUCGGAAUCACUGGGCUUAAAGCGCGUGUAGGCGGGCCGGCACGUCGGUCGCUGAAAUCCCCCGGCUCAACCGGGGAAGGGGCGCCGAUACGACCGGCCUGGAGGGACGUAGGGGGGGCCGGAACUUCCGGUGGAGCGGUGAAAUGCGUUGAGAUCGGAAGGAACGCCCGUGGCGAAAGCGGGCCCCUGGACGUCUACUGACGCUGAGACGCGAAAGCCAGGGGAGCGAACGGG